GCCGGCGUGGCGGAACGGCAGACGCGCCGGACUCAAAAUCCGGUCCCGGCGACGGGGUGUGGGUUCAAAUCCCACCGCCGGCA
rnacentral:tRNA from 1 species